GACGUAGGGCGCGAGCGUUGUCCGGAUUUAUUGGGCGUAAAGAGCUCGUAGGCGGCUUGUCGCGUCGAAUGUGAAAACCUGCAGCUCAACUGCAGGCUUGCAUUCGAUACGGGCAGACUAGAGUGCGGUAGGGGGAGAUUGGAAUUCCUGGUGUAGCGGUGGAAUGCGCAGAUAUCAGGAGGAACACCGAUGGCGAAGGCAGAUCUCUGGGCCGUAACUGACGCUGAGGAGCGAAAGCGUGGGGAGCGAACAGG
rnacentral:rRNA from 1 species